CUCCUAGAAAAGAAAAUAAGGAACUGGAGUAGGCAUCUGGCAAGCCCCGCAAUGUAUUCAUCUUUAUAGCUCUCAUUCUACUUAGCACAAGGCUUUGUACAUAGCAGGGGCUUGGCACUUACUGAGAAUACAAUAUAUUGACAAACGCACCUGAAUGGGCUUCAAAAACUGUAAGACAGAGUCUUGCUCCAUCACCAGGCUGGAAUGCAGUCUUGCGAUCUCAGCUCACAGCAACCUCUGCCUCCUGGGUUCAAACAAUUCUCCUGCCUCAGCCUCCCAAGUAGCUGCAACUACAGGCACGUGCCACCACACCCAGCUAAAUUUUGUAUUUUUAGUAGAGAUGGGGUUUCACCAUGUUGGCCGGGAUGGUCUCGAUAUCUUGACUGUGUGAUCUGCCUGCCUCGGCCUCCCAAAGUGCUGGAAUUACAGGCAUGAGCCGCUGCGCCCGGCCUCUUUUUCUUUUUUUUAAGAUAGUCUCACUCUCUUGGCUCAAUGCAACCUCCACCUCCCAGGUUCAAGCGUUUCUCUUGCCUCAGCCUCCUGAGUAGGUGGGACUACAGGCAUGCACCACCAUGCCCAGCUAAUUUUGGUAUAAAAAUACUAAAAAGUAGAGACAGGGUUUCACCAUGUUGGCCAGGCUGGUCUCAAACUCCUGAACUCAAGUGAGCCGCCCACCUCGGCCUCUCAAAGUGCUGGGAUUACAGGUGUGAGCCACCGUGCCCAGCCAACACACAACGUUUAACCCCAAUAAUCAUCCAUCUUAACCCCCUAACCUAUGUGUAUGUAUGCGAAAACAUGGUAGGCACCUCUUAAGGAAAUGUUUACAGAUUUUGCUUGUUCUGUUUUAUAUCCUCUAGCUCUUAGGAGGAUAUGCCCAGUAGGUACAAAGGAAGAAAAACCAGAAGACAUUUGAAAGUCAGUUGAGGAGGGAGUGAUCCUGAAGAUCCUUACCCUCUGUAAUGGGUCUUCUAGAAGCUGGAUGGCACUGCUGAUGGCUUCCUGUGGCACAUAUGAGGACUCUCCAUUGCCCUGAAUCUCCAGCACUGCCAUCUUCAAGGAGAGGAAUAAAAAAAAGUAGACACCUAAGAACUUCAGUGCUCUCACAAUCACUCCCUCCAAGUUAGCACCUUGCUUAUCCCCCCUCCAUUUCCUCUUCCAUAUUCUCAUUUGACCCCUUAUCAAAUGAGAAGGGUCCCUCCCCUCCAGUCUCCUCACCUCCAGUGCACACAUGCCGAAGGAGUAGAUGUCCACUGCUGUUGUCACAUUAGUGACUUCUAGGGAAAACAGAGAAGGCUUUGUUUAAUCAGAGGAUUGGGGGCUGGGGUUGGCAGGAAUGCCUUAGGAAAAGAAAAAGAAAAAGAAUUUGUAUGCUGGUAGAGAAGAACUAGAAGUUUCAGUUAUAUUGCCUCUGUACCUCAAGUUAUAAGAUGCAAAACCAGGGGGAUGAGGGCAGGGCAGAGAAACCAGGAAGGCUCACCUCCAUACUCUGGUGCAAAGAAAUGUAGAUUCUUCUGCUCUUCUCGACAAGUCUUCACGUGAUUGUUGAUAGUGUCAGGAGCCACUGGGAGUAGGGGAGACACCCACAAUCUGACCACCAUCAACGAAUAAUAGUCUCACUCCAGAGAGAGGACCCAAAAGCCAAAUUCUCUCCUAAAGUCUCCUUUCUGAUGAACCUCAAUAGGUACAAACGUAUCCCCUUUCCCGUCCUGAACUACAGACCACACAUGGAUACCACCUACCUCCCUUUUCUCAGGCUUACUGCUUCUCAUAUAAUGUCCCUAAUUCAGGAGCAACAAAAGCACCAGACUAAAUUAACAGAUAUACAGGGGCUUCAGGCCAGUCUAGGAGCAAUGUAGCCUAAGGAAAAACUUUCACUUGUGUCCCGUUCACCUUCCCUAAAUCCCAGGUACAUCUAAUCCCUGUUCACAUGAAAACAUUUGGUUUUAGUUUUAGGAAUGGCUUUUAGUUUUACUUUUAGUUUUGGUUUUAGGAAUGGCAGCCAUUCCUAAUCUGGGAGAAUUGGAGACCUCAGGAACUUGGAUAGGAUAAAGAAGGAUAAGAAGUAUUAACAUACAACCCAGGAUGUAGCCUCCUUCUUACCCACCUUUGCUGAAUAAAACUCAAAAACAGCUAAUACCCUUUAAUCAGUUCCACUUUUAAGUUUUAAUCCACCAAAACUUUUUAGACUCCUGUUCUACCCCCUUAUUCCUCAACAAUGCCUGCCACAGGGCUGAACGAGGAACCAGGACCAGGCCCAAUUUGGACUCAUUUGGAUCAUAAACAAUGACUAAAAGUCACAGAGAAUAUGGGAGCACAGUAUGAUCUGGGGAACUAGCCUGAUGAUGAAGGGGAACAUGAAUCCAGGAGGUAAGUGGCCAGCCAGGCAGAAUCCACAGGAAACAAGCAGGUUAUGGAGGGACAAGCAGGCGGAGGGCUGGCAGGGCAGAAGCUAAGCAGGCAUAAUUAGGCAGGGAAGAUAGGGGAAGAGGGUUUGCUCCCACGACUGCAUGCACUGGGCAGCCGCCAAGGGAGCAGAGGGAGCACAAACAGAGCCCCAAGAGGGGCAGAGGGAGCUCUCACCAUUAGCAAAAAUCCUAUGAAAGACUGUUGGGAACAGAGCAGCCCGUAAGCGGGAGGGAGGAAAACAGAGAAAAGUUGUGAGCGAUGGAGCAGCCAAGCCCCAGACAAAUGGACACACAAAUAUACAAACACAGCACACAGAAAUGUUGUACACUGCACACAAAUACACAGCAAAUGAAAGCACUCACAGCAGGCACAGCCUGGAACCUCCUCUGGCAGGGUCUGGCACCAGGGCUCAAAUCAGACUUCAAACCUAUCUCUUGCCCUUUCCCAACCUCCUAUCAGUAUCUCUGUAUUAACUCCAGUUUCCCUUCAAAAAGGUGUAAGAUUAUAUACCCUAUCCCUCUCCACUAAUUAACUGGCCUCUCCUAUGAAUUACCCGUAGCAAAGUCCUUUCUCUUCUCACCAACCCACACCUCAGAAUUUUGCUCUGUUAUCCCCCAUUCCUUUCAUCUUACCCCCAUGGUUCCCAAAUUCCCGAGGCUCCCCUGCCCAGAACCUCUCCCUCCCCUCACCAGAGCCAAUCUUGAUGAGUCCGUUGUGCUGGAUGAAGAUGGUGUCACAGGUCAGGUUCCCAUGGAUGAUGGGGGGGUCACAGGAGUGCAGGUAGCUGUGGGGGCACUGGGCUGUUAGAGGGGCCACUGGGAAAUUAAGGGCAGGGGGAACCCAAGGGUUAAGAGGAGCAAGGGCCAGGUCUCCUGCUGGUCACCAUAAAGAUAAUCCCCACACUCUGAAUCUCCAUUAUGCCUCAUGAUUUAAAUAGCUAGAUAAGCACUAGGAGAAAGAGGUAGGAGAUAAGUGUCAUGGUUAGGGCAUUAGCAUAUAUCCUUUAAAAGACCCAUAGCGGGCCUCAUCUUGACAGUAUAUGAUUCAAAGAAAGUAGGGAGAGGCAGAAAAGAACAGAAGAGUAGUACCCUGAAAUCUGUCUGAAGGAACUAAAUCAGGAAAUAUGGGUAAGAAACUAACCAGGUACUACUUACCUUAGGGCAGAGAGGAUUUGUGUGCACCAGCGCUUCCAUGCCUGGAACGAAGUUUGAUCCAAGGAUUAGCAGUAAUUCCCUCUCUUAACUCUCUCCCACUAGCUCUUUCCAUCCCUUCCUGAUCAGCUUCAUUAUUAAAAUAAUCAUUUUUAAACCCCCUAAAGGUUUGUCUGCUCUCCUUCUAUACCUUUUCAUUCAUAGUCUUAUGGUUCUUUUUGGUCUUCUUCAGAAACUGCUUCAGACUCCCAGAUGACAUGUAUUCUGUGAUAAAAAUGACCUGUGGAGGCAAAGCACUCAUUAAAAGGCCUUAUGAUCCCUUCCCUUCUAACAUACAUUACAUUUGAAAGUUUAUUAAAAUUUCUCUCCUUUUGUUCUUAGCUUUACUUACUUAGACUAAAUCGGGCAAUCAAUGAAAACUACUAAGCAAUAAAAGUUACAGAAAGAAGGAAGCGAAAGUUCACUCAUUUUCUGCCCAGUCUAUAGCCACACAAAAGGCAUAGGUGGCAACUGAAGCCCUACUCUCAUUGCCAUAGCAGCUGAUUCCAGUUCUGUUUCAAAACUACCCUGUUUUAAUCUCUGAAUGUAAAAGAAACAAUAAUAAAUGUAGCUAGUCUCUUUUCACUAAGUUCAGGAAAUAUGGGGAAAAAAUUCUUACCCUGGCCUUGUUCUCUUUAAUGUCAGCCCAGUAUUUGUGAAACUUAACAAUGUUAAGAUGCUCCAACUGAAUCAGAUUAUCAAACACAGCACGAACCUUUUCCUGAGAGCAAGGGAGACAAUGGAAUAGCAGAGUUCACAAAUCACUGUAAUAAUCCUGAGAAGCCAUUCCCUAUCCCUCCCCAGAAAUGAUCUAACCCCAACAUACUCUUCAUAGGCAGCUUCCCAACAGCAAUUCCUCUUUAACAUCAGUGUUCCAACAUUACCCAGGCUGCGUCUUUUCACCACCUACCUCCUGCAGCUUAUAGUUCUUGCGCUCAGAGAACUGUACCUCAUUCCACACAACCUCUACACCU